rnacentral:rRNA from 1 species
UACGGAGGGGGCUAGCGUUGUUCGGAAUUACUGGGCGUAAAGCGCACGUAGGCGGCGCAGCAAGUCAGGGGUGAAAUCCCGGAGCUCAACUCCGGAACUGCCUUUGAAACUGCAGUGCUAGAAUCCUGGAGAGGCGAGUGGAAUUCCGAGUGUAGAGGUGAAAUUCGUAGAUAUUCGGAAAGAACACCAGUGGCGAAGGCGACUCGCUGGACAGGUAUUGACGCUGAGGUGCGAAAGCGUGGGGAGCAAACAGG